rnacentral:rRNA from 1 species
UACAGAGGGUGCGAGCGUUAAUCGGAAUUACUGGGCGUAAAGCGUGCGUAGACGGUAGCGUAAGUCAGAUGUGAAAGCCCCGGGCUCAACCUGGGAAUUGCAUUUGAGACUGCUCUGCUCGGGUGCGGAAGAGGGAAGCGGAAUUUCCGGUGUAGCGGUGAAAUGCGUAGAUAUCGGAAGGAACACCAGUGGCGAAAGCGGCUUCCUGGUCCGACACCGACGUUCAGGCACGAAAGCGUGGGGAGCAAAACAGG